AUUUUUAUUUGCAAACUAUACCUCUCUCUAUACCACAGUUUCUGCUUUAAGAAAUGAUUUGAUUUCAUUUGGGCUUAUCAUGUUAUUUAUUUAUCAUUUCUUAUGCUACUUUAAUGAUUUUCUUUACGGAGACGUGGUAAGAAUGAAUAAUUUCAGCAUAUUUAGAUUUGGGUUUGGUGUCGCAUCUGUUGUACUUUGAGCUGCAAUUGUGUUCUACCUCAACUGAAGGCCAUGCUUAAGCUUUUGAAUUUGUUUGACCUGAUCUCUUUUUGUGUAAUUUCUGCCAAAUUAAAAGCUAUACUUUCGUGUCCGUGAAGGAUUAGAGCCCUUUUUCUUGUGGAUGUGCGUUAAUGAGAGAUUAGAGGGUUCUUGUUUGUGUAAUUGGAUUGAUUGAUUUAAUUUUCAUGGAAAUUUUUCAGUUACAAAAUGCAAUCGAGCUGA
rnacentral:misc_RNA from 1 species